AAUAGUUACAUUCUUAGGUUUAUUGUAUCACAGCCCAGUGACUUUCCUCUUGAGAUUGUAGCUCAGAGGAAACAUUCAGGAUCUAAUAGGGAACCCAAGGGGAUAGAAGUGGGGAGAUAAGAUUCUUUUUUUUUUUUUUUUUUGGCUUUUUAGGGCUGCACUUGCAGCAGAUGGAUAUUCCCAGGCUAGGAGGUCAAAUUGGAGUUACAGCUGCCAGUCUACGCCGCAGCCACACAGGAUCCGAGCCGCGUCUGCAACCUACACCACGGGUCAUGGCAAUGCCAGAUCCUUAACCCACUGGGCGAGGCCAGGCCAGGGAUCGAACCCACAACCUCAUGGCUUCUAGUCGGAUUCUUUUCCGCUGCACCACAACGGGAACGGCAUCCUUUGUCCUGACGUAGCAGCAUUUGCCCAAGGAGUUCAGGGUUAGGGUUGCUUCCCACUUCCCAUCAUGUUCUUCCACUGCUGUCGGAUAUAAGUCAUACAGCUGAUGCCCAGGUGAAUCCCUGGAGAAGGGUAAGAAUAAAGCUCCCAAGACAUGAAAGAGCUUGACACGCACUUGGCACACAAUACUCAGUACAUGGUUGGCUCUAUUUAUGGGAUGGUCUCAUUCUUGUUUAGGGAGGAAAGCAGAAAAGCAGUGGUUCCUGUUCAGCAGGUGUCCCUGUGCGUCUUGAGCGUGUCGAGUAGUCACCCUCUAACCUGUAAUACUUGAUCAGCACUAAGGGAAGUACAAAUUAUGAAGCUAGCAAAAGUCUGAGGCCAAAGGUAUUUCUGUCCUAACAGCUUUAAUAAUGCUUAUUGAUUUUGAAUCAUCUUUUUAAAAAGUGGACCAUUUACUUAUUUUAAUAUCAUCACUUCAGCAAAAUGGUAGUGUUGAAAAGAUCAGCUUUCAUGGCACUAAGGAAUGUAUCUGCUAAGACACAAAAGUUGCUUGGUGUGCAUGUGUAUGAGGCCGAGGAGGAAAGAUUGUAGGCGGAUGAAAAUUUAACAGACUGGAGUAUUUAUUCAGAAGUAUCCAUUGGGAAAGGGUGGGAUUCUUCCACUGAUGCGCCUCCUGCCUGUGUGUGCGUCUGCAUGUGUGUGUGUGUGUGUGUGUGUGUGUGUGCGCGCGUGCGUGCGUGUAGGUACUUGGGCACAGCUACGACAGUGUUUGGAAUUGUAGACAGAAGCAGCUGUUGAUCGGGUGACAGAGACAGAGGAUUGUCCUCAUCUCGCUGGCGGGACCUCCUGAGGCGGAGCCCACCCUGCUCUCCAGGCAGACCCCUGUUCCUGCUCUGCGGUCUGCUCCGUCUCGUUUCGGUUGUGGUACUGAGCAUCAGCACUGCUCGAAGGUCCUCGCGUGUUAGCAUCACUAGUUCUGAGGAGUUUGGGUACAUUUGUUUCAGUAUAUGUAGAAGGUCCAGUAAACUUUCUCUCUCUCUUUUAAGCAAAAUGACUCAUUUUAGGUCCAAUAUUGAGCUGACAGAUCUACUGUGAGAAUGAGCUGACGUAUCUACUGUGAGAAUAACAUAAUGAUAGUUUAUUUGAAAACUUCUGUACACAGUGGUGUUUAUAUAUCCAGAUAAAUAUAUAAACACGUAUGCAUGCAUGCAUCACAUCUCUCUACUGUAGAGGUAAUGUGAAUUUUUAAAUUUUAAAUGGAAUUGCAACCACAAUCAUUGCUAAAAGAACAUUCACUCCUAGUGAGGGUUUACAAAAGCCACUAAAAGAAUAAGGUAGACAGAUAAAAAUGCAAAGGGCCAUCAUUUGGGGUUAUUUUUAUUUAAAAAUUUAUUGUGCUACUUUUGAAAGAGAAUUGUUUUUAUUACUACGUUCUUUGUGAUUGGAAAGUCAUCUAAUAGUAAGCAGUGCAGUAAUAGGAAGCUACUUUUUAAUUGCUGGCAAACAGCUUUAAGUGCACUUUCUUUUAUUACACUUCCAUUUUUUGUUAAACUUGAAUUUUCUGAAGCCUUUUAUGUACCACUAAGCAAUUAACUUUAACUUUUAAUAAACCUGAUUUACAUCUUUAUUAUAUUUCUAAUUGCUAAAAAAACAUACUUUCUAAAGUUCAGUCCUCAAAUAUAGCUGGGAAACUUAUGAGAUAGAAUCACUUGCUGUUUUUUUCUUCUUUUAUCUAAUUAAGCACUAACAGAUUUUAGUACUAUAUUGCCUUUAUGUCGCUUAUUCUCAUUGACUGAAAUUUGUCCCUCAUUCACUUUGUUUGAAAUUUAAAGUUAUUUUCUUACUGUAUUUAUCAUACCUACUGUUUUAAUAAUCUGCAUUCUUUAAAUGCAAUAAAUCCCAAGUGGAUUGCAUAUUCUUUUUAAUCAAUGACUUCAGAGUUUUUCAUUAUUCGCCAUCAUCUUAUUAAAAGUUUUGGAUGCAAACUUCUGGUCAGUUUUUUCAUUCACACCACAUACAUCAGGCACCUGUUAUGCACCAGCUAAUGGAGUAGAAAAAUGAAUAGGGUUAGAUCUCCGUUCUAAGGAGCUCACAGUUUUGGAUUUAAGUAAGAAAACAUAUUUUGACCUAGCAUUUGUGCGACAAAAAACUAGCAUAAUUUCUUCAGGCACCAUGAUUAUUGGUGCUUAUAAUGAUGAAGGUAAGGCCAAAACAUAAGAGCCUGAAGUUCCUCUUUAGUUCCUUUAGAAUGUUUGGCAUAGUUUGUGCAUUAUAUAAUUUAUUUUUAAACCCUUUAAAAACCGGUAACCUUUUUUUUUUUUUGCUUUUUAGGGCCACACAUGCGGCAUGUGGAGCUUCCCAGGCUAGGGGGUCAGAUCAAAGCUGUAGCUACCAGCCUAUGCCACAGCCACAGCAACACAGGAUCAGAGCCACGUCUGUGAACCUACAUACACCACAGCUCACAGCAACGCUGGAUCCUUAACCCACUGACCGUGGUGUAGGUCGCAGACAUGGCUUGGAACCUGUGUUGUGGCUGUGGUGUAGGCCGGCAGCUGCAGCUCCAAUUCAACCCCUAGCCUGGGAACUUCCAUAUGCCAUGGGUGCAGCCCUAAAAAAAAAAAAAAAAAAAAAAAAA
rnacentral:lncRNA from 1 species